UGAAUAGGGUUUUAAAUUUUUUGGCUGACU
rnacentral:piRNA from 1 species